GAAGCCCUGAUUUGCAGUGUUUGCUGAUUUCCAUGGUGUAAAUACUCUGAUCAUAGCCAAUUUCAAGAAUCAUGGAACAUUUCAUCACUGGACAUAGAGUUGGGUAGAGAUACCAAAAAUUAGAUCCUGUGAACUUUUGCAGAAUUCCGGUUUCAUUCCUUUUUAGUAAAGCCUAGUUUUCUGGUGAAAUUGUCCAUCCUGUCAUCGAUUUCUUGAAUAUACUAAUCACACUCAUUUUAAAGGUUAAAGCAGGAUAUUUCUGAGCCUAGCCAUCAUUUUGGGUUUUCGCUGUAUCUCCCCAUCCCAUUUUUUCAUCUGAAGGUCUUCCGGCAAAACUAGUGAGGCUCCUGAGCGCGUGACUCAGGAGUGACAAUCGCUAACAGAUGCAUUUGUACCCGGGCAGAACUGGCCUCUAAUUGUUGCUUGUAGGAGAAAAGGCAAAGCGACUGUAGCACCGCCGUUCUCUGUUGCUGGCAGAUAACAACCUCGAGAUGAAGCCACAUUUGCAGGGGAAAAAUUGCUUACGCCCACAGAAUGAAAUUUCAGGCUUUGACAGCUGCUAGGUUGGCCAGAGGUUGACUGAUACAGACCAGGGAGCUCCGCCUUAAGUGGCAGAUCUGGCUGAAAAGUUCUUUGGUGGGUUAAACUCAGGCAUAUUCUAUAAAUGUGCCUUAUUCUAGUGACCAGGCUGAACGCGAAGCUCUCCUAUGGCAGUCGCAGAGGUGCAAGAGAGGAAGUGGAAGGCCAUGACGCAUCUUAAGGACGGGACUCAGAAGUGGCACAUUGAAAUCUACACUAUUCUACCGGAAAGAAGGCUGGACUUCCUGGGGAAUGGAAAGUACGCAGACUGCUGAGAUAAACCGCGAUUCACUGCUGCUGAAUGUAUCACACAUCAGCCCACCUCCUGCCACUACAACUCCGCACAGAGAACAGAACAGUCUCGCAGAGAAAGGAACAGUCUCAGGAAGAACCCAUUCAGCACCCAACUGAAAAAUGAUCUCAUAGGGGCGCCUGGUGGCUCAGUGGGUGGAGCGUCCGACUUCGGCUCAGGUCAGGAUCUCACGGUCCGUGAGUUCGAGCCCCGCGUCGGGCUCCGUGCCGACAGCUCAGAGC